rnacentral:rRNA from 1 species
GACGCUGGCGGCGUGCCUAAUACAUGCAAGUCGAACGGUCUUUCUAUGGAAGCUUGCUUCACUGAGAAGAUAGUGGCGAACGGGUGAGUAACACGUGGGUAACCUGCCCAUAAGAGGGGGAUAACAUCCGGAAACGGGUGCUAAUACCGCAUAGUUUUCUUGAUUGCAUGAUUGAGAAAGGAAAGACGGCCUUUGUGCUGUCGCUUAUGGAUGGACCCGCGGCGUAUUAGUUAGUUGGUGAGGUAACGGCUCACCAAGACGAUGAUACGUAGCCGACCUGAGAGGGUGAUCGGCCACAUUGGGACUGAGACACGGCCCAAACUCCUACGGGAGGCAGCAGUAGGGAAUCUUCCGCAAUGGACGAAAGUCUGACGGAGCAACGCCGCGUGAGUGAAAGAAGGUUUUCGGAUCGUAAAACUCUGUUGUCAGAGAAGAACAAGUUGGAGAGUAACUACUCCAGCCUUGACGGUAUCUGACCAGAAAGCCACGGCUAACUACGUGCCAGCCGCAGC